UACGGAGGGUGCAAGCGUUAUCCGGAUUCACUGGGUUUAAAGGGUGCGUAGGUGGGUCUGUAAGUCUGUGGUGAAAUCUCUGAGCUUAACUCGGAAACUGCCGUGGAUACUAUAGAUCUUGAAUACCGUGGAGGAUAGCGGAAUAUGUCAUGUAGCGGUGAAAUGCUUAGAUAUGACAUAGAACACCAAUUGCGAAGGCAGCUGUCUACCCGAAUAUUGACACUGAGGCACGAAAGCGUGGGGAUCAAACAGG
rnacentral:rRNA from 1 species